UUGACAAACGCAAUCGAAUUUCGAUGAGUUAUUAAUUCGUUUGAUAUCUCGGUUAUCGGAGAUUGAUACUAUAAUUUUCUCUUUAAGUAGAUAGUAAGUAGAAUUCAUCGUAUUUCGAUAAACAAUGAGAGGUGUGUAAAAGUUACAUUGUGGUUGGUAUAUCGUGCGCUAAGUUAAAUAUGUACGUGUGUAUGUUAAACAAGUUUAGCCUUUUGCUUGCCGAGUCAGUCGUAUGAAUUUACACGUUCGAGAUAGGAAGUGAACACACUUGAUGAAUAAUACUUUGGAAAAUAAAUGUCACGGGACGAAGUUAUUGACCGAACAAAGAUUGACUUUAUUAAUCCCCGACGAUACACGACCAAUUUCCGAAAAGAAGUGAACGAAACGCUUACCUCCGUUGUGCUUUAAAUCGUCCGCUUGACGAUGGAUGUCCGGCUUGGUCAGCAUGGAAAGGGGAUGAGCAGCUGUGCCACCAGCGGUUGCUGCGGCACCCGGCGGAAUACCUAAUCCGAGAAGUGCUGCGGAGGCUGACGUAGGAACGGGAAGACCAGCGCCAGGGCCGAGCCCGGGAAGGCCAGGUAUACCUGGAUGCGGGCCCAUCGCGGCGCCAGGUGGUAGUUGUUGGGCGUGCACCUGCUGAAGAAGCCUUGGCAGGUCUGGCCUUUGUUGCUGUAACGGAUCAGGAAAGUUUUCGACUUUUAUCACCUCGAAAGAGCAUCGUUUCCUCUCCCUUCUGUCAGAUAAAAAUAUGACUACGACAUUUCUCUUCCUUCCUUUCUCUCUCUCUCUCUUGAAAUGUUUUUUUUUUGCAUUUAUUUUGAGCAGUUGUUAAAAAUGAUAAUUUUAUUGAAAUUAUAAAAAGACGGAUUAACAAGUUAAUAAUUGUAAACGAAAUCGAUUUUAUUUUUUUAUCAUAGGAGGAUGAAAUGGAUAUUCCAAGGUGAGCCAAUUAAAAUUAUUUAUCGUUCGAAAGAGAGAUAAAAUUAAAAUGAUAGGAGAUAAGAUUGGAAGAGUGCGUGUAAUAGAAAUGUAUAAUAUAUCAAACGAGUAUUUAUUGAUACUUUUGUGAGAAGUUUUUAUCGUCUUAUUUAUUGAAAACGUUGAGAAAAAAGGAAAAAAAAAAGAAAGAAAGAAAGAAAGAAAGAAAAAGAAAGAAGAAUAAAAAUAAAAUGUUAUAAUAAAAUCGAUCAAUCACUUUCAAUUCGUAGAAAAUAUUUACGACAAGUUUAUAAAAUCGUCAAUGAUUAAUCGUUGUAAAGUUUUUUUCUACGUUUCAACAUGUGAUUAAAUCGAUAUAAUCGACAAGUGUAUCGAGAUUUCUUCCGGAUAAACGUUCCCAAUCCAGAAAUCUAAUCUUUGAACAACAACAACAACCGAUGACAUGCCGAUCCUGACGAGUGGCCCCGAGAUUAGAUUCGAAUCGAUGGAAUUAUCGAACACUGAUGAAACGCGCCUCCGUUAACUAUUUUUUAUCGUGGAAAAAACGUAAAAUCCUCCAACAAGUAUAUCGUUUCGUUCGAUAUCGCGAUAUCCGAGAUAGGAAGAAAAACAGAAAGAGAAAGAAAGAAAAGGGGGGGAGAAAAAGAAACGAAUCCUUCCAUUCCACAAUUCUCCGUUCGAAAUCGCGCGACAAAUCGAUCUAAACACCUGUUCCCACCCCUUCGAAGGCCAGGCGGAAGAAAGGAAGAAAAGAGAGAAAAAACGUUGCAGUCAUCGAUCGUAAUUUAAUUUUCCCCAGGAGCCCUCUCGUUACCGUGCCGGGGGACACAAGUUUCCAGAGAGAGGGGGUACACGAAUCACGGUGGCAAACUUCCAUCCGCGGGUCCCGUUUAAAUAACCCCCGGAUUUCCCCUCCGCGAACCGGUGGAGAACCGGAGGAGAGGCCGACUGGUAAAUCCCGAAAGCACGAAACAAGUGGCGGGCGGCGACUUUAUUUGCGGCCUUUCCGCCAAACCACGAAGAGGAAGAAAGGGAUAGAGAAGUGGCGGGAGGGGAAAAGUUUCGGUCAUAAACGUACCUUCCCUCCUCCCUCGCGCCGGUAGUUUCCUCGUUAGUCGGGGGAGGGGGUGUCGGUUGAGUUUCAGACAAAUUGUAGAGGCCACGCCGCGCCGUUUUAACGCUUAAGAGGUUCGAAGAGGGUGGAUGGAAGAAGAAGAAGAAGAAGAAGAAGGAGAAAGGAAGGAGGGAAGGAGACUCGAAAGUAGGAAAAGCGCGCCAUCACCCAUCCACCACCCCUCUGGCAAACCGUGUACACUCGUUAAGGCAGGGCCGAAUAUUCCUGGGGAGUAGUUUGCCGAGAUAAUUAAAUGGUUUAACGAUAUAAUAAGAGAGACUGUCUGAGCCAGCCCGCAAAACACGAAAGAAAGAGAGGGCGAAAAGAAAGGCGAACGUAAACGUUUCCGAGCCAUUCUCGGGUAAAUACGAUAAUCCUGAUCUCGGGAUGCUGUCGCAUUCCCCGUCCUGGCCCAUUCGCGUUGAGAAGAUCAUUUGCGGCAUGGACUCCGUCUAAUGGCUCCACGUGGAAAGAUUGGAGUUUUCCAGGAGAAAACUCUAGUGUGUAGUACUGUAGUGUGUUUUUUUUGAAGGGGACGACGAGCUUAAUAACUCUUAUCGAUACUUAAUCUCGUAUUGUUAUCGAGAUUAACUCGAUUUUUAACUUGGGUUUCGAUUGUUUUAUUAUGCGUAUUAUCGAAACGACGUGUGCGAUAAUAAAAUAUAAACGAAACGCCAAUUCCUACGAAUAUGAUUCACGGUUUAGAAGUUUCUUUGAGAUUGUAACCUGCUAUAAAAUUUUGUACAAUUAUUAUACAAUUCGGAGGCAUUAUUUUUUUUUUAUAAAAAAUACAAAAGCUGGGAAAACUUUUAA